AUUGAACGCUGGCGGCAUGCCUUACACAUGCAAGUCGAACGGCAGCGCGGGCUUCGGCCUGGCGGCGAGUGGCGAACGGGUGAGUAAUACAUCGGAACGUGCCCUGUUGUGGGGGAUAACUAGUCGAAAGAUUAGCUAAUACCGCAUACGACCUGAGGGUGAAAGCGGGGGACCGCAAGGCCUCGCGCAAUAGGAGCGGCCGAUGUCUGAUUAGCUAGUUGGUGGGGUAAAGGCCUACCAAGGCGACGAUCAGUAGCUGGUCUGAGAGGACGAUCAGCCACACUGGGACUGAGACACGGCCCAGACUCCUACGGGAGGCAGCAGUGGGGAAUUUUGGACAAUGGGGGCAACCCUGAUCCAGCAAUGCCGCGUGUGUGAAGAAGGCCUUCGGGUUGUAAAGCACUUUUGUCCGGAAAGAAAUCGCGCUGGCUAAUACCUGGCGUGGAUGACGGUACCGGAAGAAUAAGCACCGGCUAACUACGUGCCAGCAGCCGCGGUAAUACGUAGGGUGCGAGCGUUAAUCGGAAUUACUGGGCGUAAAGCGUGCGCAGGCGGUUUUGUAAGACAGGCGUGAAAUCCCCGAGCUCAACUUGGGAAUGGCGCUUGUGACUGCAAGGCUAGAGUAUGUCAGAGGGGGGUAGAAUUCCACGUGUAGCAGUGAAAUGCGUAGAGAUGUGGAGGAAUACCGAUGGCGAAGGCAG
rnacentral:rRNA from 1 species